rnacentral:rRNA from 1 species
AUUGAACGCUGGCGGCAUGCUUUACACAUGCAAGUCGGACGCGUGGCGCACGGGUGAGUAACGCAUCGGAACGUCCCGCGUAAUGGGGGAUAACUGUCCUACAGGACAGCUAAUACCGCAUAUUAUUCGAGCGGCCGAUGUCUGAUUCGCUGGUUGGCGGGGUAAAGGCCCACCAAGGCGACGAUCAGUAGCGGGUCUGAGAGGAUGAUCCGCCACACUGGGAAUGAGACACGUCCCAGACUCCUACGGGAGGCAGCAGUGGGGAAUUUUGGACAAUGGGCGCAAGCCUGAUCCAGCCAUGCCGCGUGUAUGAAGAAGGCCUUCGGGUUGUAAAGGACUUUGGUCAGGGAAGCGGUACCUGAAGAAGAAGCACCGGCUAACUACGUGACAGCAGCCGAGGUAAGUCC